rnacentral:rRNA from 1 species
UACGGAGGGUGCGAGCGUUGUUCGGAAUCACUGGGCGUAAAGGGCGUGUAGGCGGUCCGCUAAGUCUGAUGUGAAAACCCGGGGCUCAACCCCGGGCGUGCAUCUCGAUACUGCCCGACUAGAGGUAGGUAGGGGAGAUCGGAAUUCCUGGUGUAGCGGUGAAAUGCGCAGAUAUCAGGAGGAACACCGGUGGCGAAGGCGGAUCUCUGGGCCGUACCUGACGCUCAGGCGCGAAAGCUAGGGGAGCGAACAGG